AUAUGAUAAAUCAUGGUACAGAAACGAAUGUCACAUCUUUACUAUAUAAUAGGAGUUCUGUACAAAAUAAAAUAAAUAAUUACAUCAUAUGAGACAAUGAUCCAGCAACCCAAAGUUGACUGGGAGACGACGACCUCACGAACUCGUCACAUCAUCCUCCAUGCCCCUCAUCCUGCGGUACCUGUUCUUGACCUGUGGGGGGUGUGAGACAGCAAGAAUGAGCUCACAUACGUUCAUCGCUCAACAAGUUGUGGGGAAUAAUGUGCAUGAGCUCACCAAAGGUGGGAGCUCAUGUAAAGUGUAAGGCUUACCAAAGAGUAUGGUUAAAGCUGAGCAUUGCUUUUAAAGUUGGUCAAAAUUUUAUUAGCAGUUACUAAAUAUAACUAAAUACUAACCCAAAUAAGUAAUAGAACAAAUAUUGAUAACAACACCUGCGAUGCAAUGCAUAUGACAAAUUGAAUUUAUUUCCAUAAGUAAAUCAUGUGAGUAUCCGAGCUGCUCAUAACCGUGAGCAUGGCUAGUAUACGAGUUUUACACUCUACAGAGGUUGCACAUCUUUACCCACAAGUCAUGUUACCCAUCUGCCAAGGGAUCUCGACUUCCCAUGCACCUCUACCGAGGAGGCGAGGCAGGGUAACACUACGAUGCCUUUACAAAGUUCCAGUAGCUUCAGAAAACCUGCUAUAGUUACUAGGAAGCUCCAAUGCAGGGACCCCUCGCCUGACCGCCAUCGCAGCAAAAUCAACCCAAGGGCCUCCCUACACUGACCACUCCCCUACUGCCCUUGCCCCUUUCGAGUAAGGUAGUCCUCCACUAGCUUUCCUUAUUAAUCAGCCAAGUGCGUCCCAUACCACCCUUGUGGUAGCACUGUUUUCCCGGGUGGUUCUCUAUGUUCCAAUUAACAUAAUGAUCUUACCACAAACAGCAAAUAACGAAUUGAUAAUAAAAGCCUGAUCAUGAAUAAUGUGUAUCUCCAUACCCAAAACCACAUAAAGCAAUAGCAGGUGCUGAAAGGGAAUUAGGCUUACACUUAGUUCCUAAAUAAUUUUGGUGGUUGAAUUGCUCAACACAAAUAAUUGGACUAACUAGUUUGCCCAAGUGUAUAGAUUAUACAGGUGUAAAAGGUUCACACUCAGCCAAUAAAAAGAUCAGUUUUGGAUUCAACAAAGGAGCAAAGGGGCCAACCGAAGGCACCUCUGGUCUGGCGCACCGGACUGUCUGGUGUGCCACUGGACAGUGUCCGGUGCACCACCGGACAUGUCCGGUGCACUAGAGGACUCUACCACGAACUUGCCACCUUCGGGAAUUUCCAGAGGCGACUCCGCUAUAAUUCACCGGACUGUCCGGUGUACACCGGACAGUGUCCGGUGCGCCAAGGAGGAGCAGCCUCAGGAACUCGCCAGCUUCGGAAAUCUCCAACGGCUAGUCCGCUAUAAUUCACCGGACAUGUCCGGUGUGCACCGGACUGUCCGGUGCAACUCCGGAGCAACAGCUAACUCGCGCCAACGGCUACCUGCAGAGCAUUAAUUGCGCGCUCUGCGCGCGCAGAAGUCAGGCGCGCCCAUACUGGCACACCGGACAAGGAACAGUAGAUGUCCGGUGUGCACCGGACACCCAGGCGGGCCCACAAGUCAGAAGCUUCAACGGUCAGAAUCCAACGGAACUGGUGACGUGGCGGGGGCACCGGACAUGUCCGGUGUGCACCGGACUGUCCGGUGCGCCAUCGAGCAGACAGCCUCCCAACGGCCACUUUUGGUGGUUGGGGCUAUAAAUACCCCAACCACCCCACCAUUCAUGGCAUCCAAGUUUUCCACUUCCCAACUACUACAAGAGCUCUAGCAUUCAAUUCUAGACACACCAAAGAGAUCAAAUCCUCUCCAAAUUCCACACCACGCCAUAGUGACUAGAGAGAGUGAUUUGCUUGUGUUCUUUCGAGCUCUUGCGCUUCGAUUGCUUUCUUCUUUCUUGAUUCUUUCAUUGCGAUCAAACUCACUUGUAAUUGAGGCAAGAGACACCAAACUUGUGGUGGUCCUUGUGGGAACUUUGUGUUCCAAGUGAUUGAGAAGACAAAGCUCACUCGAUCCGAGGGAUCGUUUGAGAGAGGGAAGGGUUGAAAGAGACCCGGCCUUUGUGGCCUCCUCAACGGGGAGUAGGUUUGCGAGAACCGAACCUCGGUAAAACAAAUCCACGUGUCACACUCUUCAUUUGCUUGCGAUUUGUUUUGCGCCCUCUCUCGCGGACUCGUUUAUAUUUCUAACGCUAACCCAGCUUGUAGUUGUGUUUAUAUUUGUAAAUUUCAGUUUCGCCCUAUUCACCCCCCCUCUAGGCGACUUUCAAUUGGUAUCAGAGCCCGGUACUUCAUUAGAGCCUAACCGCUCGAAGUGAUGUCGGGAGAUCACACCAACAAGGAGAUGGAGACCGGCGAAAAGCCCACUACAAGCCACGGGAGCACUUCAUCGGAAGAGUCCCGCACCAAGAGGAGGGAGAAGAAGAAGAGCUCCUCCAACAAAGGGAAGGAGAAGAAAUCUUCUUCUCACCACAAAGAGAAGAAGGAAAAAUCUUCUUCCCACAAGCCGCAUCGGAGUGAGGACAAGCCAAAGAGGAUGAGGAAAGUGGUCUACUACGAGACCGACACUUCAUCGACAUCGACCUCCGGCUCCGAAGCGCCCUCCGUAACUUCUAAACGCCAAGAGCGUAAGAAGUUUAGUAAGAUCCCCCUACACUACCCUCGAAUUUCUAAACAUGCACCUUUACUUUCCGUCCCAUUAGGCAAACCACCAACUUUUGAUGGUGAAGAUUAUGCUAGGUGGAGUGAUUUAAUGCGAUUUCAUCUAACCUCACUCCACAAAAGUAUAUGGGAUGUUGUUGAGUUUGGUGCACAGGUACCAUCCAUAGGGGAUAAGGAUUAUGAUGAGGAUGAGGUGGCCCAAAUCGAGCACUUCAACUCUCAAGCAACAACGAUACUCCUCGCCUCUCUAAGUAGAGAGGAGUAUAACAAAGUGCAAGGGUUGAAGAGCGCCAAGGAGGUUUGGGAUGUGCUCAAAACCGCGCACGAGGGAGAUGAGCUCACCAAGAUCACCAAGCGGGAAACGAUCGAGGGGGAGCUCGGUCGGUUCCGGCUUCGCAAAGGGGAGGAGCCACAACACAUGUACAACCGGCUAAAGACCUUGGUGAAUCAAGUGCGCAACCUCGGGAGCGUAAAGUGGGAUGACAAUGAAGUGGUUAAGGUUAUUCUAAGAUCUCUUAUUUUCCUUAACCCUACUCAAGUUCAAUUAAUUCGUGGUAAUCAUAGAUAUACUAAAAUGACCCCCGAGGAAGUAAUCGGGCACUUUGUAAGUUUUGAGUGCAUGAUCGAAGGCUCGAGGAAGAUCAACGAGCUUGACGAACCCACCACAUCCGAAGCUCAACCCGUCGCAUUCAAGGCGACGGAAGAAAAGAAGAAGGAGUCUACCCCAAGUCGACAACCAAUAGACGCCUCCAAACUUGACAAUGAGGAAAUGGCGCUCGUCAUCAAGAGCUUCCGCCAAAUCCUCAAGCAAAGGAGAGGGAAAGACUACAAGUCCCGCUCCAAAAAGGUUUGCUACAAGUGUGGUAAGCCCGGUCAUUUCAUUGCUAAAUGUCCAUUAUCAAGUGAUAGUGACAGGGGCGACGACAAGAAAGGGAGAAGAAAGGAGAAGAAGAGAUACUACAAGAAGAAGGGCGGCGAUGCCCAUGUUUGUCGGGAGUGGGACUCCGACGAAAGCUCAAGCGACUCCUCCGACGACGAGGACGCCGCAAACAUCACCGUCACCAAGGGACUUCUCUUCCCCAACGUCAGCCACAAGUGCCUCAUGGCAAAGGACGGCAAAAGGAAGAAGGUAAAAUCAAGAUCCUCCACUAAAUAUGAAACCUCUAGUGAUGAAAAUGCUAGUGAUGAGGAGGAUAACUUACGUACUCUUUUUGCCAAUCUUAACAUGGAACAAAAAGAAAAAUUAAAUGAAUUAAUUAGUGCUAUUCAUGAAAAGGAUGACCUUUUGGAUUCCCAAGAGGAUUGUCUAAUUAAAGAAAACAAGAAACAUGUUAAGGUUAAAAAUGCUUAUGCUCUGGAAGUGGAAAAAUGUGAAAAAUUAUCUAGUGAGCUAAGCACUUGCCGUGAGAUGAUUGACAACCUUAGGAAUGAAAAUGCUAGUUUAACUACUAAGGUUGAUUCACAUGUUUGUAAUGUUUCAAUUCCCAAUACUAGAGAUAAUAAUGAUGAUUUGCUUGCUAGGAUUGAAGAAUUAAACACUUCUCUUGAUAGCCUUAGAGUAGAAAAUGAAAAUUUAAUUGCUAAGGCUAAAGAACUAAAUGUUUGCAAUGCUACCAUUUCCAGUCUUAGAGAUAAAAAUGAUAUUCUUCAUGCUAAGAUUGUUGAACUUAAUUCUUGCAAACCGUCUACAUCUAUUGUUGAGCAUGUAUCUAUUUGUACUAGAUGUAGAGAUGUUGAUAUUAAUGCUAUUCAUGAUCAUAUGGCUUUAAUUAAACAACAAAAUGAUCAUAUAGCAAAACUAGAUGCUAAAAUAGCCGAGCACAACUUAGAAAAUGAGAAAUUUAAAUUUGCUCGUAGCAUGCUUUAUAAUGGGAGACGCCCAGGCAUCAAGGAUGGCAUUGGCUUCCAAAGGGGAGACAAUGUCAAACUUAGUGCCCCUCCUAAAAGAUUGUCAAAUUUUGUUAAGGGCAAGGCUCCCAUGCCUCAGGAUAACGAGGGUUACAUUUUGUACCCUGCCGGCUAUCCAGAGAGCAAAAUUAGGAGAAUUCAUUCUAGGAAGUCUCACUCUGGCCCCAAUCAUGCUUUUUUGUAUAAGGGUGAGACAUCUAGCUCUAGGCAACCAACCCGUGCUAAGUUGCCUAAAAGGAAAACUCCUAGUGCAUCAAAUGAGCAUGACAUUUCAUUUAAGACUUUUGAUGCAUCUUAUGUGUUGACUAACAAAUCCGGCAAAAUAGUUGCCAAAUAUGUUGGGGGCAAACACAAGGGGUCAAAGACUUGUGUUUGGGUACCCAAAGUUCUUGUUUCUAAUGCCAAAGGACCCAAAACCAUUUGGGUACCUUAAGUCAAGAACUAAACUUGUUUUGUAGGUUUAUGCAUCCGGGGGCUCAAGUUGGAUACUCGACAGCGGGUGCACAAACCAUAUGACAGGGGAGAAAAGGAUGUUCUCCUCCUAUGAGAAAAACCAAGAUCCCCAAAGAGCGAUCACAUUCGGGGAUGGAAAUCAAGGUUUGGUCAAAGGUUUGGGUAAAAUAGCUAUAUCUCCUGACCAUUCUAUUUCCAAUGUUUUUCUUGUAGACUCCUUAGAUUACAACUUGCUUUCAGUAUCUCAAUUAUGUCAAAUGGGCUACAACUGUCUAUUCACUGAUGUAGGUGUCACUGUCUUUAGAAGAAGUGAUGAUUCAAUAGCAUUUAAGGGAGUGUUAGAGGGUCAGCUAUACUUGGUAGAUUUUGAUAGAGCUGAACUCGACACUUGCUUAAUUGCUAAGACUAAUAUGGGUUGGCUCUGGCAUCGCCGACUAGCCCAUGUUGGGAUGAAGAAUCUUCAUAAGCUUCUAAAGGGAGAACACAUUUUAGGACUAACAAAUGUUCACUUUGAGAAAGACAGGAUUUGCAGCGCAUGCCAAGCAGGGAAGCAAGUUGGCACUCAUCAUCCGCAUAAGAACAUAAUGACGACCGACAUGCCACUGGAGCUCCUACACAUGGAUCUAUUCGGCCCGAUUGCUUAUAUAAGCAUCGGCGGGAGUAAGUACUGUCUAGUUAUUGUGGAUGAUUAUUCUCGCUUCACUUGGGUAUUCUUUUUACAGGAAAAAUCUCAAACCCAAGAGACCUUAAAGGGAUUCUUGAGACGAGCUCAAAAUGAGUUCAGCUUAAGGAUCAAGAAAAUAAGAAGCGACAACGGGACGGAGUUCAAGAACUCUCAAAUUGAAGGCUUCCUUGAGGAGGAGGGCAUCAAGCAUGAGUUCUCUUCUCCCUACACACCACAACAAAAUGGUGUAGUGGAGAGGAAGAAUCGAACUCUAUUGGACAUGGCAAGGACCAUGCUUGAUGAGUACAAGACUUCGGAUCGGUUUUGGGCCGAGGCGGUCAACACCGCUUGCUACGCCAUCAACCGGUUAUAUCUACACCGAAUCCUCAAGAAGACAUCAUAUGAACUCCUAACCGGUAAAAAGCCCAACAUUUCAUAUUUUAGAGUCUUUGGUAGCAAAUGCUUUAUUCUUGUUAAAAGAGGUAGAAAAUCUAAAUUUGCUCCUAAGACUGUAGAAGGCUUUUUACUUGGUUAUGACUCAAACACAAGGGCAUAUAGGGUCUUUAACAAGUCCACUGGACUAGUUGAAGUCUCAUGUGACGUUGUGUUUGAUGAGACUAACGGCUCUCAAGUAGAGCAAGUUGAUCUUGAUGAGAUAGGUGAAGAAGAGGCUCCAUGCAUCGCGCUAAGGAACAUGUCCAUUGGGGAUGUGUGUCCUAAGGAAUCCGAAAAGCCUCCAAAUGCACAAGAUCAACCAUCCUCCUCCAUGCAAGCAUCUCCACCAACUCAAAAUGAGGAUGAGGCUCAAGUUGAUGAAGAAGGAGAUCAAUCAAAUGAGCCACCUCAAGAUGAUGACAUAGAUCAAGGGGGAGAUGCAAAUGUUCAAGAAAAGGAGGAUGAGCAAGAGCAAAGGCCGCCACACCCAAGAGUCCACCAAGCAAUUCAACGAGAUCACCCCGUCGACACCAUCCUCGGCGACAUUCAUAAGGGGGUAACUACUAGAUCUCGUGUUGCACAUUUUUGUGAACAUUACUCUUUUGUUUCCUCUAUUGAGCCACACAGGGUAGAGGAAGCACUACAAGAUUCGGAUUGGGUGGUGGCAAUGCAAGAGGAGCUCAACAACUUCACUAGGAAUGAGGUAUGGCAUUUAGUUCCACGUCCUAACCAAAAUGUUGUAGGGACCAAAUGGGUUUUCCGCAACAAGCAAGAGGAGCAUGGUGUGGUGACAAGGAACAAAGCUCGACUUGUGGCCAAGGGAUACUUCCAAGUCGAAGGUUUGGAUUUUGGUGAAACCUAUGCACCCGUAGCUAGGCUUGAGUCAAUUCGCAUAUUAUUGGCCUAUGAUACUUACCAUGGCUUUAAGCUUUAUCAAAUGGACGUGAAAAGUGCCUUCCUCAAUGGACCAAUCAAGGAAGAGGUCUAUGUUGAGCAACCUCCCGGCUUUGAAGACAGUGAGUAUCCUAACCAUGUCUAUAAGCUCUCUAAGGCGCUUUAUGGGCUCAAGCAAGCCCCAAGAGCAUGGUAUGAAUGCCUUAGAGAUUUCCUUAUUGCUAAUGGCUUCAAAGUCGGUAAAGCUGAUCCUACACUCUUUACUAAAACUCUUGAAAAUGACUUGUUUGUAUGCCAAAUUUAUGUUGAUGAUAUUAUAUUUGGGUCUACUAACGAGUCUACUUGUGAAGAGUUUAGUAGGAUUAUGACACAGAAAUUCGAGAUGUCUAUGAUGGGGAAGUUGAAGUAUUUCUUAGGAUUUCAAGUGAAGCAACUCCAAGAAGGCACCUUCCUAAGCCAAACGAAGUACACUCAAGAUAUUCUAAGCAAGUUUGGAAUGAAGGAUGCCAAACCCAUCAAGACACCCAUGGGAACUAAUGGGCAUCUCGACCUCGACACGGGAGGUAAGUCCGUGGAUCAAAAGGUAUACCGGUCGAUGAUAGGUUCUUUACUCUAUUUAUGUGCAUCUCGGCCGGACAUUAUGCUUUCCGUAUGCAUGUGUGCAAGAUUCCAAGCCGACCCUAAGGAAGCUCACCUUACGGCCGUAAAACGAAUCUUGAGAUAUUUGGCUUAUACUCCUAAGUUUGGGCUUUGGUAUCCUAGGGGAUCCAGAUUUGAUUUGAUUGGUUAUUCGGAUGCCGAUUGGGCGGGGUGCAAGAUUAAUAGGAAGAGCACAUCGGGGACUUGCCAGUUCUUGGGGAGAUCCUUGGUGUCUUGGGCUUCAAAGAAGCAAAAUUCGGUCGCUCUUUCCACCGCCGAAGCCGAGUACAUUGCCGCAGGUCAUUGUUGCGCGCAAUUGCUUUGGAUGAGGCAAACCCUGCGGGACUACGGUUACAAACUAACCAAGGUCCCUUUGCUAUGUGAUAAUGAGAGUGCAAUCAAAAUGGCCGACAAUCCCGUCGAGCAUAGCCGCACUAAACACAUAGCCAUUCGGUAUCACUUUUUAAGGGAUCACCAACAAAAGGGGGAUAUCGAGAUUUCUUACAUUAACACUAAAGAUCAAUUAGCCGAUAUUUUUACCAAGCCUCUUGAUGAACAAUCUUUUAACAAACUUAGGCAUGAGCUCAAUAUUCUUGAUUCGCGCAAUUUCUUUUGCUAGAUUGCACACAUAGCUCAUUUAUAUACCUUUGAUCAUGUCUCUUUCAUAUGCUAUGACUAAUGUGUUUUCAAGUCUAUUUCAAACCUAGCCAUAGGUAUAUUGAAAGGGAAUUGGAGUCUUCGGCGAAGACAAAGGCUUCCACUCCAUAACUCAUCCUUCGCCGUCACUCCAAGCAACUCUCCAUUCAUGGGGGAGAAAAGGCAUGAGCAUCAAAGAAAAGGACCGGACUUCGUCUUUGGUAUAAUCUUAACUCAUUUAUUUAUGACCAAAGGGGAAGAUAGCAAUUCGAGGGCUCUAAUGAUUCCGAUUUUUGGCGAUUCAUGCCAAAAAGGGGGAGAAAUGAGCCCAAAGCAAAAGGACCGCACCACCACCAACUUCAAAAACUUAGUGUUGAAUAUUUUUCAAUUGGUAUCCUAUUGUGUUCAAAAGGAGGAGAAAGUAGUAUUUCAAAAAUUAUCAAAACCCUCUUGAACACUAAGAGGAGGAUCUCAUUUAGGGGGAGUUUUGUUUAGUCAAAGAAGAAGCAUUUGAAACAAGGGGAGAAAAUAUCAAAUCUUGAAAGUGCUUUGCAAAAUCUUAUUCAUUUACAUUUGACUACUUGCAAAAGAACUUUGAAAAGGAUUUACAAAAGAGUUUGCAAAAACAAAACUUGUGGUGCAAGCGUGGUCCAAAAUGUUAUAUAGAAAGAAACAAUCCAUGCAUAUCUUGUAAAUAAUUACAUUGGCUAAAAUUCAAGCAACCUUUACACUUACAUUAUGCAAACUAGUUCAAUUAUGCACUUCUAUAUUUGCUUUGGUUUGUGUUGGCAUCAAUCACCAAAAAGGGGGAGAUUGAAAGGGAAUUAGGCUUACACUUAGUUCCUAAAUAAUUUUGGUGGUUGAAUUGCUCAACACAAAUAAUUGGACUAACUAGUUUGCCCAAGUGUAUAGAUUAUACAGGUGUAAAAGGUUCACACUCAGCCAAUAAAAAGAUCAGUUUUGGAUUCAACAAAGGAGCAAAGGGGCCAACCGAAGGCACCUCUGGUCUGGCGCACCGGACUGUCCGGUGUGCCACCGGACAGUGUCCGGUGUGCCACCGGACAGUGUCCGGUGCACCAGAGGACUCUACCACGAACUUGCCACCUUCGGGAAUUUCCAGAGGCGACUCCGCUAUAAUUCACCGGACUGUCCGGUGUACACCGGACAGUGUCCGGUGCGCCAAGGAGGAGCAGCCUCAGGAACUCGCCAGCUUCGGAAAUCUCCAACGGCUAGUCCGCUAUAAUUCACCGGACAUGUCUGGUGUGCACCGGACUGUCCGGUGCAACUCCGGAGCAACGGCUAACUCGCGCCAACGGCUACCUGCAGAGCAUUAAUUGCGCGCUCUGCGCGCGCAGAAGUCAGGCGCGCCCAUACUGGCACACCGGACAAGGAACAGUAGAUGUCCGGUGUGCACCGGACACCCAGGCGGGCCCACAAGUCAGAAGCUUCAACGGUCAGAAUCCAACGGAACUGGUGACGUGGCGGGGGCACCGGACAUGUCCGGUGUGCACCGGACUGUCCGGUGCGCCAUCGAGCAGACAGCCUCCCAACAGCCACUUUUGGUGGUUGGGGCUAUAAAUACCCCAACCACCCCACCAUUCAUGGCAUCCAAGUUUUCCACUUCCCAACUACUACAAGAGCUCUAGCAUUCAAUUCUAGACACACCAAAGAGAUCAAAUCCUCUCCAAAUUCCACACCACGCCAUAGUGACUAGAGAGAGUGAUUUGCUUGUGUUCUUUCGAGCUCUUGCGCUUGGAUUGCUUUCUUCUUUCUUGAUUCUUUCAUUGCGAUCAAACUCACUUGUAAUUGAGGCAAGAGACACCAAACUUGUGGUGGUCCUUGUGGGAACUUUGUGUUCCAAGUGAUUGAGAAGACAAAGCUCACUCGAUCCGAGGGAUCGUUUGAGAGAGGGAAGGGUUGAAAGAGACCCGGCCUUUGUGGCCUCCUCAACGGGGAGUAGGUUUGCGAGAACCGAACCUCGGUAAAACAAAUCCGCGUGUCACACUCUUCAUUUGCUUGCGAUUUGUUUUGCGCCCUCUCUCGCGGACUCGUUUAUAUUUCUAACGCUAACCCGGCUUGUAGUUGUGUUUAUAUUUGUAAAUUUCAGUUUCGCCCUAUUCACCCCCCCUCUAGGCGACUUUCAGGUGCUACCCAAAAAUUUAGUGGUAAUCAAGGUAUAAAGAUAGUCAAACUAGGGUAACCUAUUAGGUCCCAUCAAAAUUAACCUAUGCAGAUCAUUAUGAUUAAUAAAAACAUGAUUGAGUAAAAAGAAGUGAUCAAGGGCACAACUUGCCUAGGACUUGAGAUUCCAGGUACCAACUUGCUCUUCGAGUGACUCGUAACCUCGCUGCUAGUCGUAAUAAAACAUGGUAUAGGCAAAAUUAACAUUACACCAAACAUAAUAACAAACCGCAUAAUAAUAAUCUACGCGUCACUACGAGAUUGUGGGUUCGAGAACCGCUAAAAUCGGGGUUACGGUUAUCGAGUUACGAUUUCCUGAAGUUAUUAAGUGCUUGGUAUAGAAUAAAUUAAGUAGACAAUUUGAAUCUAUGUUUCAUGUCUAAACAAAGUUACUAGGUGAUAAACAAUAUUUAAACAAAAUUAAUGCAACUGGAACGAGUCUAUUCGGAGUUAAAAUGGAAUUUCUAUUGAUUAAACAAGCUUCCAGAUUUAUUUUUAUAUUAAAAAUCAUUUUCUGCAAUUGAUUUAUAACUAAAAUGGGCUCUUUGUCCACAAAUCCUAAUUUCUGAUGAAGCCAGGGGUGUGUUUGCAAUUUCUGGGGACCUAGUUGUAACUGUUUUCAACCGCACGUGGACGGCGAGUUGAUUCGGGAAAACCGAGGGGCUCAUAUGAAAGAUGGUGUGGCUGAACUGCUGAAGGGGUAUUCCUCAAUCUAGGCUGUGCGAUCUGAGAUGGACGCACGCGAUUAGAUCCAGCCCCUUACUGAACCGGUAUGGAGUGUUGUCCAUUAGAUCCAAACUCGACGGACAAAAUUUUCUCAUGAACCGAGAUCUAAAUUGACCCGUUCGAUCCCGAUCCAAUGAUCCACAAUCGAUCGAGCGACUGGGAACAUGAUGCCCCAAUCAGAGUCGUUCAAUACCCGAUCAACGGCCGCAAUUCGACCACGAUACCAGUUACUUCCUGCCAUCGGAUCAUAGAUCGGUGGCUAUCGUUGAAACGAUAUGAAUCCUUUUAAUCCGGGCCACACAUUUGGAUCCAACGGUUCCCAUCCACGCGACCCAGAGAGCGGCGCAGCGCGGCUUCCCCAAUCCUCACUGCACCACCGAAGCGCGACGGUGCCCGCACCCAUAGCACGGUGGCGCAAUGGCCAGGAUACCCAAUCGCCCAAUCUGCGAGCUUCUACGCGAUGUUCAAGUGAACGCGAUGCAAUUGGAGAGGCUCUCACCUUGAAUAAUGUCGCGCCAUGCUCGGUUGACGACAGAAUGCGGCUCGACUAUGGUGUAUCCAUUAUGGCGAGGAAUUGCCGUGCCCUCCGAUCACAAUCCCACACGAGGAUACGAUGCGCGGCCUGCCUGAGUGCAGCCGAUCCCCAACCCCAUGAUUUGUGUUGGUCGCCCUACAACGGUAGAGCACUCUGCAUGACUUCGGCGGAUGCCCUCCCCCCUAAACGACGAUGGUGGUAGCACUCGGUCGACGCCACCCAUGGACGAAGAGAGGAGGUUGUGACCACGCCCUUAUAUAGCCCGAGGAAUGCAUGGGACCCGAGGAUAUCAUGACUUG
rnacentral:lncRNA from 1 species